rnacentral:tRNA from 1 species
UCCUAGUUAGUAUAGUGGUGAGUAUCUCUGCCUGUCACUCAGGAGACCAGGGUUCGAUUCCCCAACAAGGAG